CGCAGCAGGGGCAGCAGCCGCAUCGCCCCUGGGGUCCAGUCUGGUCUGGCCCGGCUGAUCCCGGCCCACUUCUCUGUCCCGGCGAGAAAGCUCUGAGCUUGGACAAGUUUGAAGAGAGUGUUCGGUGAAUAAAGGCCCCCAGACAGUGGAAAGGCGUAACCGGAAAUGAGGAGACCUGCAGAUCGCUUACCAUAUUCACACCUCCCGAGAAGUCAGGAGAACAGAUGGAAUUCUGAAUGGCCAUGCCCACCAUGGGCCCAGAAAAGGAAGUAACACUGUGGGACAGAGGUGAGAGAUCAGUCUAAAGCCAUCGUCAGAGCCUCGGGAACAGAAGGGACGCGCACUCGGCCCUGACAGGAUGGCAUCAGGCUCCGAGCGGAGACUGGGAUCCUUACGUCACAAGCUGGGCACUAUCAUGGGGCAGUCGAGGCAGCAAGUCUGUCCGGCGCCAGCGGAGGAAGUUGUCUAGCAGGACAGCUGGGUUGGAGCUCAUCUCUAUCAGGUCGCGCUGGGUCCAUGCCUCUAGGCCCACAAGUGCUACCCGGACAUUCAGGGGCUGGAAGAACUGAAUGGGCGGAGGCUCAGAAAAGGGGCGGGGCUGCAGUAAGAGAGCAAAGGGCUUCCUACCCAGCCCCAGACUCACUGUGUCUAGCAGAAGGGCCACUUCUAGUGUUCGGUUCAGCAGUUGUUGGAAGUCAGGGUACUUCCUGACCUGGGGGCCAAGUGGGGUUACCUUGAAAUGUGAUAGGAAAGUGGGGAUGGGGCAGGGAGCGGGAGAGGGCUAUUGUGUCAACACACUCACCUCUGAAUUAUCAGCCACAAUCACCAGUUCG